rnacentral:rRNA from 1 species
AAUGGUGGCUAUAGCAAGGGUGUUCACCUCUUCCCAUUCCGAACAGAGCAGUUAAGCCCCUUUGCGCCGAUGGUACUUGGUUUUCCUGGGAGAGUAGGUCGCCGCCAAUU